rnacentral:lncRNA from 1 species
AUUUAAGGGACUGGAAGUUUGUCUAAACAGUGAUACACAUUCGGUUGCAAAACUAGAAAGCUCAGUGAUUUGAUAAAUAAAAUGAUAUGCCUGUUUGGGAAAUGCCUGUGGUAUUUCACGUCUUUAUUUUUAUUUGUAAACCACUUGAAAUUUAGCGUUUGUUUUCCUUCUUUGGUAGGUUUCUGGUUUAGAAUUAAGUUGCCAGAAACUUAAAAAAAGAGAAAUGUGAUAAUUUAUUUUAUAUACUGUGCAUUAGAAAUGUACUUCUUUUUGAAAAUUCUUCAGGGGUAGGAACAGCCCAUUUUCAUGUAAGCCAUUAGACUAAAAGAUAAAAUGGUGUGAUCUUAGAUUACAAAUGUG